ACUCAAAGGAAUUGACGGGGACCCGCACAAGCGGUGGAACAUGUGGUUUAAUUCGAGGCAACGCGAAGAACCUUACCAGGCCUUGACAUGCCUCUCGCGGAUUCCAGAGACGGAAUCCUUCAGUUCGGCUGGAGAGUGCACAGGUGCUGCAUGGCUGUCGUCAGCUCGUGUCGUGAGAUGUUGGGUUAAGUCCCGCAACGAGCGCAACCCUCAUCCUCUGUUGCUAACAGGUAAUGCUGAGAACUCUGAGGAAACUGCCGGUGAUAAGCCGGAGGAAGGUGGGGAUGACGUCAAGUCCUCAUGGCCCUUACGGCCUGGGCUACACACGUGUUACAAUGGCAGUGACAAUGCGCCGCUACUCCGCGAGGAGAUGCUAAUCGCAAAAAGCUGCCUCAGUUCGGAUUGUACUCUGCAACUCGAGUACAUGAAGUUGGAAUCGCUAGUAAUCGCGGAUCAGCACGCCGCGGUGAAUACGUUCCCGGGUCUUGUACACACCGCCCGU
rnacentral:rRNA from 1 species